rnacentral:rRNA from 1 species
GUGCCAGCAGCCGCGGUAAUACGGAGGGGGCAAGCGUUGUUCGGAAUUAUUGGGCGUAAAGGGCAUGUAGGCGGUUUGGUAAGUUAAAGGUGAAAUACCAGGGCUUAACCCUGGGGCUGCUUUUAAUACUGCAGGACUAGAGUCCGGAAGAGGAUAGCGGAAUUCCUAGUGUAGAGGUGAAAUUCGUAGAUAUUAGGAGGAACACCAGUGGCGAAGGCGGCUGUCUGGUCCGGUACUGACGCUGAGGUGCGAAAGC